rnacentral:rRNA from 1 species
GACAGAGGUGCCGAGCGUUAGGCGGAAUCACUGGGCUUAAAGCGUGUGUAGGCGGACGGGUAAGUACCUUGUGAAAUCCCACGGCUCAACCGUGGAACUGCCGGGUAUACUGCCUGUCUUGAGUCAUCUAGGGGCGAGCGGAACAAAUGGUGGAGCGGUGAAAUGCGUAGAGAUCGGAAAGAACACCAACGGCGAAAGCACUCUGCUGGGCCGACACUGACACUGAGAGACGAAAGCUAGGGGAGCGAAUGGG